rnacentral:rRNA from 1 species
GACGAACGCUGGCGGCGUGCUUAACACAUGCAAGUCGAACGGAAAGGCCCUGCUUUUGUGGGGUGCUCGAGUGGCGAACGGGUGAGUAACACGUGAGUAACCUGCCCUUGACUUUGGGAUAACUUCAGGAAACUGGGGCUAAUACCGGAUAGGAGCUCCUGCUGCAUGGUGGGGGUUGGAAAGUUUCGGCGGUUGGGGAUGGACUCGCGGCUUAUCAGCUUGUUGGUGGGGUAGUGGCUUACCAAGGCUUUGACGGGUAGCCGGCCUGAGAGGGUGACCGGCCACAUUGGGACUGAGAUACGGCCCAGACGCCUACGGGAGGCAGCAGUGGGGAAUAUUGCACAAUGGGCGGAAGCCUGAUGCAGCAACGCCGCGUGCGUGAUGACGGCCUUCGGGUUGUAAACCGCUUUCGCCUGUGACAAAGCGUGAGUGACGGUAAUGGGUAAAGAAGCACCGGCUAACUACGUG